GACGAACGCUGGCGGCGUGCUUAACACAUGCAAGUCGAACGGAAAGGCCCUGCUUUUGUGGGGUGCUCGAGUGGCGAACGGGUGAGUAACACGUGAGUAACCUGCCCUUGACUUUGGGAUAACCUCAGGAAACUGGGGCUAAUACCGGAUAGGAGCUCCUGCUGCAUGGUGGGGGUUGGAAAGUUUCGGCGGUUGGGGAUGGACUCGCGGCUUAUCAGCUUGUUGGUGGGGUAGUGGCUUACCAAGGCUUUGACGGGUAGCCGGCCUGAGAGGGUGACCGGCCACAUUGGGACUGAGAUACGGCCCAGACUCCUACGGGAGGCAGCAGUGGGGAAUAUUGCACAAUGGGCGGAAGCCUGAUGCAGCAACGCCGCGUGCGGGAUGACGGCCUUCGGGUUGUAAACCGCUUUCGCCUGUGACGAAGCGUGAGUGACGGUAAUGGGUAAAGAAGCACCGGCUAACUACGUGCCAGCAGCCGCGGUGAUACGUAGGGUGCGAGCGUUGUCCGGAUUUAUUGGGCGUAAAGGGCUCGUAGGUGGUUGAUCGCGUCGGAAGUGUAAUCUUGGGGCUUAACCCUGAGCGUGCUUUCGAUACGGGUUGACUUGAGGAAGGUAGGGGAGAAUGGAAUUCCUGGUGGAGCGGUGGAAUGCGCAGAUAUCAGGAGGAACACCAGUGGCGAAGGCGGUUCUCUGGGCCUUUCCUGACGCUGAGGAGCGAAAGCGUGGGGAGCGAACAGGCUUAGAUACCCUGGUAGUCCACGCUGUAAACGGUGGGUACUAGGUGUGGGGUCCAUUCCACGGGUUCCGUGCCGUAGCUAACGCUUUAAGUACCCCGCCUGGGGAGUACGGCCGCAAGGCUAAAACUCAAAGGAAUUGACGGGGCCCCGCACAAGCGGCGGAGCAUGCGGAUUAAUUCGAUGCAACGCGUAGAACCUUACCUGGGUUUGACAUGGAUCGGGAGUGCUCAGAGAUGGGUGUGCCUCUUUUGGGGUCGGUUCACAGGUGGUGCAUGCCUGUCGUCAGCUCGUGUCGUGAGAUGUUGGGUUAAGUCCCGCAACGAGCGCAACCCUUGUUCACUGUUGCCAGCACGUUAUGGUGGGGACUCAGUGGAGACCGCCGGGGUCAACUCGGAGGAAGGUGGGGAUGACGUCAAGUCCUCAUGCCCCUUAUGUCCAGGGCUUCACGCAUGCUACAAUGGCUGGUACAGAGAGUGGCGAGCCUGUGAGGGUGAGCGAAUCUCGGAAAGCCGGUCUCAGUUCGGAUUGGGGUCUGCAACUCGACCUCAUGAAGUCGGAGUCGCUAGUAAUCGCAGAUCAGCAACGCUGCGGUGAAUAAGUUCCCGGGGCU
rnacentral:rRNA from 1 species